rnacentral:rRNA from 1 species
UGGGGAAUUUUGGACAAUGGGGGAAACCCUGAUCCAGCCAUCCCGCGUGUGCGAUGAAGGCCUUCGGGUUGUAAAGCACUUUUGGCAGGAAAGAAACGUCGCGGGCUAAUACCCCGCGAAACUGACGGUACCUGCAGAAUAAGCACCGGCUAACUACGUGCCAGCAGCCGCGGUAAUACGUAGGGUGCAAGCGUUAAUCGGAAUUACUGGGCGUAAAGCGUGCGCAGGCGGUUCGGAAAGAAAGAUGUGAAAUCCCAGAGCUUAACUUUGGAACUGCAUUUUUAACUACCGGGCUAGAGUGUGUCAGAGGGAGGUGGAAUUCCGCGUGUAGCAGUGAAAUGCGUAGAUAUGCGGAGGAACACCGAUGGCGAAGGCAGCCUCCUGGGAUAACACUGACGCUCAUGCACGAAAGCGUGGGGAGCAAACAGGAUUAGAUACCCUGGUAGUCCACGCCCUAAACGAUGUCAACUAGCUGUUGGGGCCUUCGGGCCUUGGUAGCGCAGCUAACGCGUGAAGUUGACCGCCUGGGGAGUACGGUCGCAAGAUUAAAACUCAAAUGAAUUGAC